rnacentral:rRNA from 1 species
UGCGUAGGCUGAUAUAUAAGUCAGCGGUGAAAUCCUGCAGCUUAACUGUAGUAAGCCGUUGAUACUGUGUAUCUUGAGAGUAGAUGAGGUAGGCGGAAUGUGUUGUGUAGCGGUGAAAUGCAUAGAUAUAACACAGAACACCAAUUGCGAAGGCAGCUUACUAAACUAUAUCUGACGCUGAGGCACGAAAGCGUGGGGAUCAAACAGGAUUAGAUACCCUGGUAGUCC